CCCUACGGGGCGCAGCAGUAGGGAAUCUUCCACAAUGGGCGAAAGCCUGAUGGAGCAACGCCGCGUGGGUGAAGAAGGUCUUCGGAUCGUAAAACCCUGUUGUCAGAGAAGAAAGUGCGUGAGAGUAACUGUUCACGUUUCGACGGUAUCUAACCAGAAAGCCACGGCUAACUACGUGCCAGCAGCCGCGGUAAUACGUAGGUGGCAAGCGUUAUCCGGAUUUAUUGGGCGUAAAGGGGACGCAGGCGGUCUUUUAAGUCUGAUGGGAAAGCCUUCGGCUUAACCGGAGGAGUGCAUUGGAAACU
rnacentral:rRNA from 1 species